rnacentral:rRNA from 1 species
UACGUAGGGGGCGAGCGUUGUCCGGAUUCAUUGGGCGUAAAGAGCUCGUAGGCGGCUUGGCAAGUCGGGUGUGAAACCUCCAGGCUCAACCUGGAGUCGCCAUCCGAUACUGCUAUGGCUAGAGUCCGGUAGGGGAUAGUGGAAUUCCUGGUGUAGCGGUGAAAUGCGCAGAUAUCAGGAGGAACACCGGUGGCGAAGGCGGCUAUCUGGGCCGGUACUGACGCUGAGGAGCGAAAGCGUGGGGAGCGAACAGG